CCUACGGGAGGCAGCAGUAGGGAAUUUUCGUCAAUGGGCGCAAGCCUGAACGAGCGAUGCCGCGUGAGUGAAGAAGGCCUUCGGGUCGUAAAGCUCUGUUGCGGGGGAAAAAAGGCAGCAUCAGGAAAUGGGUGCUGACUGAUGGUGCCCCGCCAGAAAGUCACGGCUAACUACGUGCCAGCAGCCGCGGUAAUACGUAGGUGGCGAGCGUUAUCCGGAAUGAUUGGGCGGAAGGGGUGCGUAGGCGGUCCUGCAGGUCUGGAGUGAAAAGGAUGGGCUCAACUCAUGCAUGGCUUUGGAUACUGGAGGACUGGAGAGCAGGAGAGGGCGGUGGAACUCCAGGUGUAGCGGUGAAAUGCGUAGAUAUAUGGAAGAACCCCGGUGGCGAAGGCGGCCGCCUGGCCUGUUGCUGACGCUGAGGCACGAAAGCGUGGGGAGCAAAUAGGAUUAGAUACCCCAGUAGUC
rnacentral:rRNA from 1 species